rnacentral:rRNA from 2 species
CAGGGAUUGCCUUAGUAACGGCGAGUGAAGCGGCAAAAGCUCAAAUUUGAAAUCUGGCACUUUCAGUGUCCGAGUUGUAAUUUGAAGAAGGUAACUUUGGAGUUGGCCCUUGUCUAUGUUCCUUGGAACAGGACGUCACAGAGGGUGAGAAUCCCGUGCGAUGAGGUGUCCAAUUCUAUGUAAAGUGCUUUCGAAGAGUCGAGUUGUUUGGGAAUGCAGCUCUAAGUGGGUGGUAAAUUCCAUCUAAAGCUAAAUAUUGGCGAGAGACCGAUAGCGAACAAGUACAGUGAUGGAAAGAUGAAAAGAACUUUGAAAAGAGAGUGAAAAAGUACGUGAAAUUGUUGAAAGGGAAGGGCUUGAGAUCAGACUCGGUAUUUUGCAAGCCUAUCCUUCGUGGAGAGGUUUAUUAGCAGCUUACCGGGCCAGCAUCGGUUUGGAUGGUAGGAUAAUGGCAUUGGAAUGUGGCUCUUCGGAGUGUUAUAGCCUUUGUUGAUACUGCCUAUCUAGACCGAGGACUGCGUCUUUGACCAGGAUGCUGGCGUAAUGAUCUUAAG